CCUGACUGCUAUCGGAUUGAUACUAAGCCAUGCGAGUCUUUGUAGCAAUACAAGGCAGACGGCUCAGUAACACGUAGUCAAUCUACCCUAUGGACGGGGAUAACCUCGGGAAACUGAGAAUAAUACCCGACAGAUCAUUAUACCUGGAAUGGUUUAUGGUUUAAAUGAUUUUUCGCCGUAGGAUGGGACUGCGGUCUAUCAGCUUGUUGGUGAGGUAAUGGCCCACCAAGGCUAUAACAGAUACGGGCUCUGAGAGGAGAAGCCCGGAGAUGGGUACUGAGACACGGACCCAGGCCCUAUGGGGCGCAGCAGGCGAGAAAACUUUGCAAUGUGCGAAAGCACGACAAGGUUAAUCCGAGUGUUUUCUGCUAAAGAAAUCUUUUGUUAGUUCUAAAACCACUAUCGAAUAAGGGGUGGGCAAGUUCUGGUGUCAGCCGCCGCGGUAAAACCAGCACCUCAAGUGGUCAGGAGGAUUAUUGGGCCUAAAGCAUCCGUAGCCUGCUUUGUAAGUUUCCGGUUAAAUCCAUUAGCUUAACUGAUGGGCCGCCGGAAAAACUGCAAAGCUAGGGAGUGGGAGAGGUAGACGGUACUCGGUAGGAAGGGGUAAAAUCCUUUGAUCUAUGGAUGACCACCAGUGGCGAAGGCGGUCUACCAGAACGCGCUCGACGGUGAGGGAUGAAAGCUGGGGGAGCGAACCGGAUUAGAUACCCGGGUAGUCCCAGCUGUAAACUAUGCAAGCUAGGUGCUGGAGUGGCUGCGUGCUACUCCGGUGUCGCAGGGAAGCCGUUAAGCUUGCCGCCUGGGUAGUACGGUCGCAAGACUGAAACUUAAAGGAAUUGGCGGGGGAGCACCACAAGGGGUGGAGCCUGCGGUUC
rnacentral:rRNA from 1 species